UUGAGUGAUGACAAAAGAUGUUGUGCACCAGACUGGACUGCUCUUAAUCGUUUAUUUACUCAUUCAACAAGAGCUAUGAAGCAUAAAAUAUACCCAAAUUUCUGAGU
rnacentral:snoRNA from 1 species